rnacentral:rRNA from 1 species
UACGUAGGCAGCGAGCGUUGUUCGGAGUUACUGGGCGUAAAGGGUGUGUAGGCGGUUGUUUAAGUUUGGUGUGAAAUCUCCCGGCUCAACUGGGAGGGUGCGCCGAAUACUGAAUGACUAGAGUGCGGGAGAGGAAAGUGGAAUUCCUGGUGUAGCGGUGAAAUGCGUAGAUAUCAGGAGGAACACCUGUGGUGUAGACAGCUUACUGGACCACUUCUGACGCUGAGACACGAAAGCGUGGGUAGCAAACAGG